rnacentral:rRNA from 1 species
GGGUUGUGAGGUUAAGCGACUAAGCGUACACGGUGGAUGCCCUGGCAGUCAGAGGCGAUGAAGGGCGUGCUAAUCUGCGAUAAGCGCCGGUAAGGUGAUAUGAACCGUUAUAACCGGCGAUACCCGAAUGGGGAAACCCAGUGUGACUCGUCACACUAUCAUUAACUGAAUCCAUAGGUUAAUGAGGCGAACCGGGGGAACUGAAACAUCUAAGUACCCCGAGGAAAAGAAAUCAACCGAGAUUCCCCCAGUAGCGGCGAGCGAACGGGGAGGAGCCCAGAGCCUGAAUCAGCAUGUGUGUUAGUGGAAGCGUCUGGAAAGGCGCGCGAUACAGGGUGACAGCCCCGUACACAAAAGCGCAUGUGCUGUGAGCUCGAUGAGUAGGGCGGGACACGUGGUAUCCUGUCUGAAUAUGGGGGGACCAUCCUCCAAGGCUAAAUACUCCUGACUGACCGAUAGUGAACCAGUACCGUGAGGGAAAGGCGAAAAGAACCCCGGCGAGGGGAGUGAAAAAGAACCUGAAACCGUGUACGUACAAGCAGUGGGAGCCCCACCACCAAAGCAUUUGCUGUACCGCGUUGACGGAGCGAAGCGACGUCAAACCGAUAAAACAGCAGUGUAAAGUGAGCCGCAGGGCGCUUUGCGCGACAGCGCAAAGGCAGGCGGUUUCGCGUAGCGAAAGCGAAUGCUUUGGGGUGGGGUGACUGCGUACCUUUUGUAUAAUGGGUCAGCGACUUAUAUUCUGUAGCAAGGUUAACCGAAUAGGGGAGCCGGAGGGAAACCGAGUCUUAAUUGGGCGUUAAGUUGCAGGGUAUAGACCCGAAACCCGGUGAUCUAGCCAUGGGCAGGUUGAAGGUUGGGUAACACUAACUGGAGGACCGAACCGACUAAUGUUGAAAAAUUAGCGGAUGACCUGUGGCUGGGGGUGAAAGGCCAAUCAAACCGGGAGAUAGCUGGUUCUCCCCGAAAGCUAUUUAGGUAGCGCCUCGUGAAUUCAUCUCCGGGGGUAGAGCACUGUUUCGGCUAGGGGGCCAUCCCGGCUUACCAACCCGAUGCAAACUGCGAAUACCGGAGAAUGUUAUCACGGGAGACACACGGCGGGUGCUAACGUCCGUCGUGAAGAGGGAAACAACCCAGACCGCCAGCUAAGGUCCCAAAGUCAUGGUUAAGUGGGAAACGAUGUGGGAAGGCCCAGACAGCCAGGAUGUUGGCUUAGAAGCAGCCAUCAUUUAAAGAAAGCGUAAUAGCUCACUGGUCGAGUCGGCCUGCGCGGAAGAUGUAACGGGGCUAAACCAUGCACCGAAGCUGCGGCAGCGACGCUUAUGCGUUGUUGGGUAGGGGAGCGUUCUGUAAGCCUGCGAAGGUGGCCUGUGAGGGUUGCUGGAGGUAUCAGAAGUGCGAAUGCUGACAUAAGUAACGAUAAAGCGGGUGAAAAGCCCGCUCGCCGGAAGACCAAGGGUUCCUGUCCAACGUUAAUCGGGGCAGGGUGAGUCGACCCCUAAGGCGAGGCCGAAAGGCGUAGUCGAUGGGAAACGGGUUAAUAUUCCCGUACUUGGUGUUACUGCGAAGGGGGGACGGAGAAGGCUAUGUUGGCCGGGCGACGGUUGUCCCGGUUUAAGCGUGUAGGCUGGUUUUCCAGGCAAAUCCGGAAAAUCAAGGCUGAGGCGUGAUGACGAGGCACUACGGUGCUGAAGCAACAAAUGCCCUGCUUCCAGGAAAAGCCUCUAAGCAUCAGGUAACAUCAAAUCGUACCCCAAACCGACACAGGUGGUCAGGUAGAGAAUACCAAGGCGCUUGAGAGAACUCGGGUGAAGGAACUAGGCAAAAUGGUGCCGUAACUUCGGGAGAAGGCACGCUGACACGUAGGUGAAGUGAUUUACUCACGGAGCUGAAGUCAGUCGAAGAUACCAGCUGGCUGCAACUGUUUAUUAAAAACACAGCACUGUGCAAACACGAAAGUGGACGUAUACGGUGUGACGCCUGCCCGGUGCCGGAAGGUUAAUUGAUGGGGUCAGCGCAAGCGAAGCUCCUGAUCGAAGCCCCGGUAAACGGCGGCCGUAACUAUAACGGUCCUAAGGUAGCGAAAUUCCUUGUCGGGUAAGUUCCGACCUGCACGAAUGGCGUAAUGAUGGCCAGGCUGUCUCCACCCGAGACUCAGUGAAAUUGAACUCGCUGUGAAGAUGCAGUGUACCCGCGGCAAGACGGAAAGACCCCGUGAACCUUUACUAUAGCUUGACACUGAACAUUGAGCCUUGAUGUGUAGGAUAGGUGGGAGGCUUUGAAGCGUGGACGCCAGUCUGCGUGGAGCCGACCUUGAAAUACCACCCUUUAAUGUUUGAUGUUCUAACGUGGACCCGUUACCCGGGUUGCGGACAGUGUCUGGUGGGUAGUUUGACUGGGGCGGUCUCCUCCUAAAGAGUAACGGAGGAGCACGAAGGUUGGCUAAUCCUGGUCGGACAUCAGGAGGUUAGUGCAAUGGCAUAAGCCAGCUUGACUGCGAGCGUGACGGCGCGAGCAGGUGCGAAAGCAGGUCAUAGUGAUCCGGUGGUUCUGAAUGGAAGGGCCAUCGCUCAACGGAUAAAAGGUACUCCGGGGAUAACAGGCUGAUACCGCCCAAGAGUUCAUAUCGACGGCGGUGUUUGGCACCUCGAUGUCGGCUCAUCACAUCCUGGGGCUGAAGUAGGUCCCAAGGGUAUGGCUGUUCGCCAUUUAAAGUGGUACGCGAGCUGGGUUUAGAACGUCGUGAGACAGUUCGGUCCCUAUCUGCCGUGGGCGCUGGAGAACUGAGGGGGGCUGCUCCUAGUACGAGAGGACCGGAGUGGACGCAUCACUGGUGUUCGGGUUGUCAUGCCAAUGGCACUGCCCGGUAGCUAAAUGCGGAAGAGAUAAGUGCUGAAAGCAUCUAAGCACGAAACUUGCCCCGAG